rnacentral:rRNA from 1 species
GACGAACGCUGGCGGCGUGCUUAACACAUGCAAGUCGUACGGUAAGGCCCUUUCGGGGGUACACGAGUGGCGAACGGGUGAGUAACACGUGAGUAACCUGCCCACAACUUUGGGAUAACGCUAGGAAACUGGUGCUAAUACUGGAUAUGUGCUCCUGCUGCAUGGUGGGGGUUGGAAAGCUCCGGCGGUUGUGGAUGGACUCGCGGCCUUUCAGCUUGUUGGUGGGGUAGUGGCCUACCAAGGCGGCGACGGGUAGCCGGCCUGGGAGGGUGACCGGCCACAUUGGGACUGGGAUACGGCCCAGACUCCUACGGGAGGCAGCAGUGGGGAAUAUUGCACAAUGGGCGCAAGCCUGAUGCAGCAACGCCGCGUGCGGGAUGACGGCCUUCGGGUUGUAAACCGCUUUCAGCAGGGACGAAGCUUUUUGUGACGGUACCUGCAGAAGAAGCACCGGCUAACUACGUG